rnacentral:tRNA from 2 species
GGGGCUCGUAGCGCAGUGGUCGUCGCGCCUUCACCUCAUGUGGGAAGACGCCGGUUCGAAUCCGGCCGGCCCCG